GCAGGAAUUUGUUCCUCUGUAAGAUGUCGCCCCCCUCUAAGAACUAUUGGAAGAUGCACAGACACAGAGGUGUGCUGCAGAAGUUUCUGGAGAUGAGAUCCUAAAAUUCCUCGGCAGGACAUGCCCCUUGCUUCUGGCUGCUGGACCCAUCUGCUGAUGUCCCCAUCUGCUGAUGUCCCCAUCUGCUGAUGUCCCCUCCCGUCGCUGCCGGUGCCGUGCCCAGCUGGGCUGACAGCAGCAGUGGCAGCUGCUCCUGCUGGCUGCUGCUGGGCUGGAGCCCUGUGGUGCCAGCCCCGCUGUCUUUGGGGCAGGGGCUGCUUUUCCUGGCUUGAAUAAAGACGAGCACUUGGGCAUUGCA